rnacentral:rRNA from 1 species
UCUUGGUCAUUUAGAGGAAGUAAAAGUCGUAACAAGGUUUCCGUAGGUGAACCUGCGGAAGGAUCAUUAUUGAAAUAAACCUGAUGGGUUGUUGCUGGCUCUCUAGGGAGCAUGUGCACACCUUGUCAUCUUUAUAUCUCCACCUGUGCACUUUUUGUAGACCUUUCAGGUCUAUGUUGCUUUCAUUUACCCCAAUGUAUGUUAAUAGAAUGUUGUGCCUAUAUAAUAUAUACAACUUUCAGCAACGGAUCUCUUGGCUCUCGCAUCGAUGAAGAACGCAGCGAAAUGCGAUAAGUAAUGUGAAUUGCAGAAUUCAGUGAAUCAUCGAAUCUUUGAACGCACCUUGCGCUCCUUGGUAUUCCGAGGAGCAUGCCUGUUUGAGUGUCAUUAAUAUAUCAACCUUCUCUUUUUUGAGUUGUUUGGAUGUGGGGGUUUGCUGGCCUCUUAAAUGAUUCAGCUCCCCUGAAAUGCAUUAGCAGAACAACCUGUUCAUUGGCGUGAUAAUUAUCUAUGCUAUUGAAUGUGAGGGCAGUUCAGCUUUCUAACCGUCCUUGGACAAUUCAUCAUUAAUGUGACCUCAUCUCAUC